UCUAUGGAAACUACUCCCACUGUCCGCUUAACAUUAAUGUAAUAGUACGUACGUUGAAAUUGGCUAAUGAGUUGUAUUACGCUACGUGCGUAUUACGUCAUAACUCGUGCGUAACGUCCAUUUUACCGGGGAAUGUCGAAGACGUGCUAUGUAGUUCAGAUGUAGAAAGUUCUACUUUUCUUUUAAAUCUUAAAGAAAGUUUCAUAAAAACAAAUUGUAUAGCGAAUGUUCAGUACAAUAGGAAGCGUUAUUUUGUUCUAGCAAAUGGAGCCGAGGCAUAACAUUUAAAGGAAUGUUAUUCAAAGAAAGCAAAUUCAGACAGCGUUUGCCUGGAUCAACACCCAGUACUGGGAUGCCUGGAACCUGUGUGACGAGGUGAUCGACUGGGGAGACGGUGUGGAGGAGUGCUCACGAGCGACACCCCCACUGUCCAGGUUGGGGGGGAUAAGGAGGGAUUGGGAAGGGCUACUUGGGAAAAUGUGGAGGUAUCAGAAAGGGGCCUCCAAUGGUGAGAUGGAGGGGGCGGAGGCUGGUAUGAAUGUAAUGCAUAUGGUAAAUGGAGGUGAGGAGAAUGGAUGUGAGGUAGGAGUGAAUGUGGAGGAGGUUAAGGGAGAAGGAGAGAAAAGUAGAGGGAAUGCUUUGGGAUCUAUUGUGUCACAAGGAGGCAGAUCAUGGCUGGAAACCAUUCAGGAAGAAGGAUGUGAGGAAGAAGAAGAAACUGAGGUGGCGUUUCAGGAGGCACAAGACGCUGAGGUUGCCCAGUUGGACAGAUGGUGUCCAUGUGGCUGGUGUAAGGUGGGGUAGGAGGCUUCUGAACCAUGUGUUAGGCCUAGUGCACUUAUGGAUUGUGCCUGUUUGUUAUAAUGAAAUAAGCUUAUAAACUAAACAUAAUAUAUUUUAUAGGUACGUGUUUAUAUCAGUAUCUACAUGUAAAGGGAGCAGACACAGGAAAAAGGUAUUGAAGACCCUUGAUAUGAUAUUGCUGUUUUUGUUUUAGAUUCCAAAGUUAACCCUUUAUUUAAUUUAUCCCUUUUCCCCAAGUAGAAUGAUGCAUUUACUUGUAAUCUGUAUUAUUUUGCUUUGGAGUCGGAAGUUCCAAAAUCACAAGGUAAGUUAAUCGAUUGUAUGUGUUUUAACUACUAGAAAGAUGUAAAUGAUAAGCCUUAAGAUUUAUUUUAAAUUAAUUUAUUGUUUUUUUGUAAAUUAAAAACAGGAACCCUCGUGGACCAAGACUUGAGGGCAUUUGUACAAUCCACCUGUACAACUUUAACUGGUUCUGCAGUCUUUUUCUCCCCACAGCCUCUGCUUGUUCCCUUCUUCUCUUUCUGUCUUCCCUCCAGGAGAGCUCCUCAGGCAUCUCCAGCCUGUAAUUCCUGGGAAAUGCCACCUGCCACCCAUCCUUGGAAGCGUUGCCCAUUCUCAGGAUCUCAUACGUCACCAUUCAUCACAGAGUCACAGCGCUUGCAGACAUCUGGUAUGGAUUAAGGCACAGCCAGCCUGGAUUAAGGCAUCACCAGCCUGGCAUCAGACUCUCCGGACAAUGCCAGCCCAGAGGGGGCUGACCUGGAGGACAUUCCCCGGAGGACAUGGAGUGGGAGCCUCCAGGUCUUGCCCUGAGUCCCACUCCGUGCUGUCAGCCCCGUGGCCAAAGUUUCCCCAGCCGAGGAGGCUAUCGCCGCGACAACGGCAGGGUCAACGGAAAUCCAGUCGUGGGCUGAGGUCCAGGAGGAAAAAACGAGGUUAUACUACCCAGACCUGCCUCCUGAUCCAGGCUUGGUCCAAGAUGGUCUUUCAGGGUAUCCCAUUCAAUGAUUCCCAAAAGGAACCACCUCCGGUCUCCUCAUGGCGGUGGUACUGGCCUGUGCUUUUGUUUUGCAGGGUCCCUGGUGUGGUCCAGUUCCUGUCCUGCCUGCCCCUCGACACCCUCCGACUCUGCCAACCCCUCGCCGUCUACCGAUGCUGUUCUUCCCUUGGCUGCCGCAGACGAGUAGAGCUUCUACAGACCCAGACAGGAUUCCAAAGGCCCCCCUGGCCGUGACCCUUCUGCGGCACCCCGGAGCCCAUCAGAGGCCCUGAACUGUUCACUUUACCUCCCAUGCUACCUAGUGUCUUGCCCCUCCUAAUACCUCAGUCUUUGGUCUGUAGUCUUGCUUCCCCGUGGCUCUCCCUGGUUUCACCUCUUAGCCCGAUUUCACUGUUCCAGCCCAUAUCUUGCCCAUUUAGUCAACCUUACCCUCCAGUUCUCCUCCCUGAUGAGCCACGCUUGGUGUCUAUUAGUCUCACCCCAUGUUCCUCCCCUUCUGUCAGUCACUAUCAGCUUCCUUGUGUUUUCCCAUUCCUUAGUCUGGUAAAGUGCCCAGUCCUAUCUUCUCCAGUUGUGUCCUUGUCUGUUUGCGUCUCUGUGCCCAAACCUGGUGGUCAAUAAAACUCCC